AAGCCGUUGAAACUGGUGUUGCGUCAUAGUACUACCAUUGCGGACUUCCCCAAAUCCUUGUGGGAUGAGUUGCUGGGUUACAGGGGCUGCUUUGACUGGAACAGCCUUGCAUUACUGGAGGACAGUUUCC
rnacentral:misc_RNA from 1 species